rnacentral:lncRNA from 1 species
GGACAUUAGAUGGUUGUGGAUCUGGAUCUGGUUGAGCCAAUGGAACAGUAGUUGCUUGUAACAUUGUGCCUUGUGAAUCUGAAACUGGUUGAUCCAAUGGAACAGUAUUCACAGAUGAAAUCAAUGGAACAGUGAUGCCAACCGAUGGAACAGUGUUAACUGUUUUUUGGAAGACUAAAUCACUCGCAUAAAUUGGAACUAACUCUUUUCUUGGGCGACCN